GUACGGGAGGCAGCAGUGGGGAAUUUUGGACAAUGGGGGCAACCCUGAUCCAGCCAUGCCGCGUGUGUGAAGAAGGCCUUCGGGUUGUAAAGCACUUUCGGCCGGAACGAAAUCGCGCGGAUUAAUAACCCGCGUGGAUGACGGUACCGGAAGAAGAAGCACCGGCUAACUACGUGCCAGCAGCCGCGGUAAUACGUAGGGUGCGAGCGUUAAUCGGAAUUACUGGGCGUAAAGGGUGCGCAGGCGGCGUCGCAAGUCAGGCGUGAAAUCCCCGGGCUUAACCUGGGAAUGGCGCUUGAAACUACGAUGCUGGAGUAUGGCAGAGGGAGGUGGAAUUCCACGUGUAGCGGUGAAAUGCGUAGAGAUGUGGAGGAACACCGAUGGCGAAGGCAGCCUCCUGGGCCAAUACUGACGCUCAUGCACGAAAGCGUGGGGAGCAAACAGGAUUAGAUACCCCGGUAGG
rnacentral:rRNA from 1 species